AGUGAACGCUGGCGGCAGGCCUAAUACAUGCAAGUCGAACGGCAGCACAGCAGAGCUUGCUCUGUGGGUGGCGAGUGGCGGACGGGUGAGGAAUACAUGGGAAUCUGCCCAGUCGUGGGGGAUAACGUAGGGAAACUUACGCUAAUACCGCAUGCGCCCUUCGGGGGAAAGCCGGGGACCGUAAGGCCUGGCGCGAUUGGAUGAGCCCAUGUCGGAUUAGCUAGUUGGCGGGGUAAAGGCCCACCAAGGCGACGAUCCGUAGCUGGUCUGAGAGGAUGAUCAGCCACACUGGAACUGAGACACGGUCCAGACUCCUACGGGAGGCAGCAGUAGGGAAUAUUGGACAAUGGGCGCAAGCCUGAUCCAGCCAUGCCGCGUGAGUGAAGAAGGCCCUCGGGUUGUAAAGCUCUUUUGUUCCGGAAAGAAAGCGCCGGUUAAUACCCUGGUGUCCUGACGGUACCGGAAGAAUAAGCACCGGCUAACUUCGUGCCAGCAGCCGCGGUAAU
rnacentral:rRNA from 1 species